UACACACAUAAAAAAAAAGAAAAAUUCACAGCAGAGGUCGCUGCAGCGGCUUGAUAACGCCCUGUUUGAGCAUGACACGCGGUUUCGUGGCGUUCUGGAACGUUUCCUUGGUUGUCCAUUCGGGCCCGAUGGGCAGCCGCAGCGAGCGUUCGUAUUGCUGCCUUGAUUCGAAGGGGUGGGGUAACUGGGACGCGAGAUACUUUGUAUUCUGUUGUUGUUGUUGAUGAUGUCGUCAGUUGAGCGUUGAUCUUUUUUUUUUUUUUUUUAAUAUGUUCCAAUGAUCCAAUGAAUUAUUUCUUCUAAGUAAACAAAGCAAAGCAAAAAUAAAGGAGGGGGAGAGGGGGAUGACAAUAGAACAUAAAAAUAAAAUAAAAAAUAGAUA
rnacentral:sRNA from 1 species